CCCCUUACCAUUCCGAACAGGGAAGUUAAGCCCGUCUGCGCCGAUGGUACUGCUACACCAAGUGGGAGAGUAGGCCGCCGCCUUUU
rnacentral:rRNA from 1 species